rnacentral:miRNA from 1 species
CGGGGCUCUGCUUCUCCACGAGUCUUGAGGGCUUUUGUUUCUUGCAGUAGUCACGCCGCUGGAGCUUGCUUACCUCCAGCUGUCAGGUGCUGUGAGCCCAGUA